rnacentral:rRNA from 1 species
UACGAAGGGGGCUAGCGUUGUUCGGAUUUACUGGGCGUAAAGGGCGCGCAGGCGGCUCAUUUUGUCAGGCGUGAAAGCCCCGGGCUUAACCUGGAAACUGCGUUUGAUACGGAUGGGCUAGAGUUCGGGAGAGGAGAGUGGAAUUCCCAGUGUAGAGGUGAAAUUCGUAGAUAUUGGGAAGAACACCGGUGGCGAAGGCGGCUCUCUGGACCGAGACUGACGCUGAGGCGCGAAAGCGUGGGGAGCAAACAGG